rnacentral:tRNA from 1 species
GUGUGCCUAGUUUAUUAGAAUUGUUGUUUUGCACGCAGCAGGUUAAAGCUUUAGUUUUAGGUAUACU